rnacentral:tRNA from 1 species
AGCGGGGUGGAGCAGUGGUCAGCUCGUCAGGCUCAUAACCUGAAGGUCGUAGGUUCGAAUCCUACCCCCGCCA